GCCAGGCACAUGGCGCAUAUCUGUAGUCCCAGCUACUCAGGAGGCUAAUCUGGGAGGCUGAGGCGGGAGGCUCUCUUGAGCCCAAGAAUUCUGGGCUGUAGUACGCUAUGCUGAUCAAGUGCACACUAGGUUCAGCAUCAAUGUGGUGACAUCCCAGCAACGGGGCACCACCAGGUUGCCUAAGGAGGGGUGAACUGGCCCAGGUUGGAAACAGAGCAGAUCAAAACUCCCGUGCUGAUCACUAAUGGGAUCACGCCUGUGAAUAGCCACUGGGCAGCAUAGGGAGACCCCAUCUCU
rnacentral:SRP_RNA from 1 species